rnacentral:rRNA from 1 species
AGUGAACGCUGGCGGUAGGCCUAACACAUGCAAGUCGAACGGCAGCACAGUAAGAGCUUGCUCUUACGGGUGGCGAGUGGCGGACGGGUGAGGAAUACAUCGGAAUCUACUUUUUCGUGGGGGAUAACGUAGGGAAACUUACGCUAAUACCGCAUACGACCUACGGGUGAAAGCAGGGGAUCUUCGGACCUUGCGCGAUUGAAUGAGCCGAUGUCGGAUUAGCUAGUUGGCGGGGUAAAGGCCCACCAAGGCGACGAUCCGUAGCUGGUCUGAGAGGAUGAGCAGCCACACUGGAACGGAGACACGGUCCAGAGUCCUACGGGAGGCAGCAGUGGGGAAUAUUGGACAAUGGGCGCAAGCCUGAUCCAGCCAUACCGCGUGGGUGAAGAAGGCCUUCGGGUUGUAAAGCCCUUUUGUUGGGAAAGAAAAGCAGCAGGUUAAUACCCCGCUGUUCUGACGGUACCCAAAGAAUAAGCACCGGCUAACUUCGUG